rnacentral:rRNA from 1 species
UAGGGAAUCUUCCACAAUGGACGCAAGUCUGAUGGAGCAACGCCGCGUGAGUGAAGAAGGUUUUCGGACCGUAAAGCUCUGUUGUUGGUGAAGAAGGAUAGAGGUAGUAACUGGCCUUUAUUUGACGGUAAUCAACCAGAAAGUCACGGCUAACUACGUGCCAGCAGCCGCGGUAAUACGUAGGUGGCAAGCGUUGUCCGGAUUUAUUGGGCGUAAAGCGAGCGCAGGCGGAAGAAUAAGUCUGAUGUGAAAGCCCUCGGCUUAACCGAGGAAUUGCAUCGGAAACUGUUUUUUCGAGUGCAGAAGAGGAGAGUAGAACUCCAUGUGUAGCGGUGGAAUGCGUAGAUAUAUGGAAGAAUACCAGUGGCGAAGGCGGCUCUCUGGUCUGCAACUGACGCUGAGGCUCGAAAGCAUGGGUAGCGAACAGGAUUAGAUACCCCUGGUAGUCCAUGCCGUAAACGAUGAGUGCUAAGUGUUGGGA